UGUUCUGAAUACUAGUACACUGUAGCGUCGUUUCUGAUCUAGUAGGUUGUACUGUCGUGCGCUAAUGCGCUAGAGCAUAUUGUUGUGACUGUCUGGUAUGUUGCUCUUUCCGCCAAAGAGCAGAUGCUAGCCUAGUGCGUGCUUGCUCAUGUUUGUGCGCAGCAGCUGUCAGUGUUGUGGAGGAAAUGAGUGGAUUUCUCUGCAGUGUUGUAGUCGGUUGUUGCGUGUGAAGUACACUAGCAGUUGUCGGUUGUUGCGGCAAGAGUCAUCUUGUGGGAACAAAGAUCAUUGGUGAACGAAGAUCAUUGCUAUCACGCAUUGUUUAGCUACGAUGUUUUGCGUUUCGUUUUCUGGGAGCAAUAAUGAGCGUUCAACCACUGAUGAGUCAAGCUGUGGACAACCUCGGAGCCCUGCUGUUGGAUGUAACAGGUCAACAGCUUGGACAGCAUGGAGGAGAGAAGAGUCAAAGCCUGUCAAAGCCUGGAGAAGAGUCAAAGUUGAGACAGACAGACAGACAGACAGACAGACAGACAGACAGAUAGUAUGGACUCACGACUUGAUGAUGUUUGUAUGGUCAGAAUGUUUGAGUUCACUUCACUUACCACACAGAGGUGAACCUAGAGACAGAUAUGUGAAUUCCAGCAACCGCCCAGAUAUUCUUGUGGCUGAUUCUGAAACUGAAUAGAACUUGAUGUGGCACUAGCUCAUCCGUGGGCUGCAGACAUUUGUCUCGUGCAUCUACAACUGCAGGGAGUGCGGCUGUGAGAAGGGAAGAACUUAAACUAGUAAAUAUAAAGAGGAAAAACUACCCGGUGGAUAUUCUCCAUCAGUAGUGCCUCUAGUUUUUUAGCACUUUGGGUGUUGGGGAGAAAGAGCCACUAACUACUUUAAUGCAAUUGCAAGUAUGUGGAGAGAUGAGAACGAACGAACAAAUGUUGCUGAGUUUAAGACACAAUAGAGGAGACGGUUUUCAAUUCAACUGCAACGUUGCAACGCAGGUGUGCUGACAAGAAACUCAUGAUGAUUGGUUCUGGACCUAAGACCCUUAGUAGAAACACUGACUUUGCACAACUUGUAGUUAAGUAUCCUCUUUUAAGUUUUAUUCCCCAUAUGGGGCUAAUGUAUUAUGUAGUAAUUAUUAGUGGACUUUAGGUUUGCUUUUAGAGUUUGACAGACAGACAGACAGACAGACAGCAGGUAUCGCGGCCUCAAGGAGGGUCUUGGGAGGAGACAAAAGCUUCACAACCAACCAAGAAGCUCUUGGUUGUAAAGAGAAAAGCUUUACAAGCAAGAGCUUCUUCCAGGAGGCAUCAAACCAUCUUUUGUUCCCUUGGUUCUUGGACAUUUUGGUCGCUGGGGGAUACAAGCCUCCAACUAUCUGAACAAGCUAGCCGAGUUGUCUAGAAAUGAUGAGGGAAAGAAAAACAAGGCCCAAUUCAAGACUAAGUAGAGAUCUCUCAUCUCCAUUCAACUGCAAAGAAACCUUGCUAAAGUUAUAGCAGACAAUGUAUGGAAAGACUGGAUCAUUGUAAACAACACUUUCCUUGCUUGGAACAUGCCCAAUGGAGACACGUGUGGUGACAAAAUGAGUCAAACAAUGGUCCUAUUAGUUUGUAACCAACGUAAUGAGGUGACGGAAGUUAAGGAACCAAAGACUUGCCAUUAUGAGAUGAAGUUUAAGGUGCCGCUGGCUUGUUCCAGACGAAACAUGGCAGUCUGUCUGUGGCUCAGCAAAAAGUUGCAACAACAGUGGGACGACGUUGAACAAGAGCAAUUCAAUGGAGACAUUACACAACAGGGAUACAAGAAUAUUUGACGACUAUAUGGACAGCAGCGGGAUUUGUUGGUCAGCGAGCUUCUAGAGAUGAUCAAAAUGCUAAAAGCAAAGAGAAGAACUCAGACAAGGAGGGAAGCAUGAAGUUUGCAGAUACAGCUGCAUGUGAAAAGGCAUACAACAAACUACACGAUACAUAUAAACCUAAAGACAACAAUUAUCCAUCUACUAGCCAAAUGCCACAUUAACUAAUGUCACACAAUCUAACACGUCACACUCUAAUUCAACCAUUAAUACAACCGUGAAUGCCAUAAAUCAAACAGUCAAUGUACCAUCAUCCAUCCAUACCAACAACGCUCAACAUGUCCAUACAAGGACAUUAACAAAAAAUCUGCAAACAAGGCCAGACGGUGGGAACACAACACUCGGAGGUGUCGACAUCGUUCCAUCAAAUUCUGUACUGAAAAAUGACAGUAAAACGUCAAAGUCUCAUUUGGUUGAUGAAAAGGUUUCACAGCAAGAAGAAGUUGGUGAGAGAAGGAAUGCAUAUAGACAGCAGAUGGAAGGUGGUGAAGUGUCACAUAAAGUGAGGAACUUUGAGAACAGGAUGGUUCAUUGGCAACAGGAAAAUAGUUGAACGAUGGACGUCAUUGCUUCAUCUAGCCUCUUACGGUAAUUGGAUUACAAGGUAGAGAUGGUCACGUUUGUAGAUAAUAAAUUAAAUCAAUAAAUUAGUGAGGGUUGAUAUCAAUUAUAAAAUGAGCAGGAUGAGUUUACGCGAAUGUUAUUAGACGUUAAUCUAUGGAUUUAUUUAUCUUGUUUGCUGCUCUUUAAUGCUUUGAAUUAUUCUUUCUAUGAAAGGCAGCUUUCUUCAAUUAUCGGUCCGUCAUUAUUAAUUACAUAUUGAAUUCUCGUUAUUUCUAACAAACUUCU